rnacentral:rRNA from 1 species
UACAGAGGGUGCAAGCGUUUGUCCGGAAUCACUGGGCGUAAAGGGCGCGUAGGCGGCCUGAUAAGUCGGGGGUGAAAUUCUGCGGCUUAACCGCAGGACGGCCUUCGAGACUGUCGGGCUUGAGCACGGUAGAGGCUGGUGGAAUUCCCGGUGUAGCGGUGGAAUGCGUAGAGAUCGGGAAGAACAUCGGUGGCGAAGGCGGCCAGCUGGGCCGUUGCUGGACGCUGAGGCGCGACAGCGUGGGGGAGCAAACAGG